CAGGAGGGAGCAAGGGUAUCAGCACACGGAGGACGCCGCUCAUCCUCCCCGCCCUACAGUCUCCACCCUGGGCCCGACUGCGACUGCUCGGCCGCGCACCGUUUCAGAAAUGUCUUGAGGGCCAAACACGUCUCCUUCUGGCCACACCUCCCUGAAGCACGGAGAGAAAAAAGACCUUAGCCAGGGGGAAUCUGAGUUAUAAUUUGAGGUGGGCAAAGGAGUUUGGACUCAUCUCUCAUCUGUCAGCCAAGAAGAGAAUGCAAACUGUUACCUCAAAGAUGAAACAAAGACUCUAGGGAAAUCCUCCCUCAUCAGCCACACUGCACACCGCCGGAACAAAAUGCAAACAAUCGAAGUGUCUCACACUUGGUUGAACAAAGCAGGAAAAUGAGAGUCAGCACCCCACCCCUGCUCCCCCACAUCAAGGCUGUGAACCAGUUUGGGGCACAGGCAAAUAGGAUGGACUAGGAGGCCCUUGACGUUCACGCUCUAUUCAAGAAACUCAUAACACACCAAAGGUUAGCAGCAUGAGCUUCGGAGCCCAACAGAUCUGGAUUUAAGUACUGACACUAGGCACGAGCAAGACCUCAAACAAGCUGCUUCACCACUGUGUGCACGGGUCCUAGCGCUACCAUGAGGAUGACAUGAAAACAAACUGAGGGUUG